CUCAAUCUUUACUUCCAUCUCACUGGCCUCCUGUACGCACUUUAUGUUUUGUUUGUAAAUCAUAUUCUGUCAUUCACCUGCUGAAAGGGCAAGAAGUAGCCCAGAAACGUCGUGUUGUAAAUAAUAAAGAAGUUGUAAACUAUACCAUACGUUGUUGUAUUCUAAUGUCCAUAGCUUUAGUUUU